rnacentral:rRNA from 1 species
UACGAAGGGGGCUAGCGUUGUUCGGAAUUACUGGGCGUAAAGCGCGUGUAGGCGGGUCUUUAAGUCAGGGGUGAAAUGCCAAGGCUCAACCUUGGAACUGCCUUUGAUACUGGAGACCUUGAGUCCGGGAGAGGUGAGUGGAAUUGCGAGUGUAGAGGUGAAAUUCGUAGAUAUUCGCAAGAACACCAGUGGCGAAGGCGGCUCACUGGCCCGGAACUGACGCUGAGACGCGAAAGCGUGGGGGAGCAAACAGGG